UACGUAGGGUGCAAGCGUUGUCCGGAAUUAUUGGGCGUAAAGAGCUUGUAGGCGGUUUGUCGCGUCUGCUGUGAAAUUUCGGGGCUCAACCCCGAACUUGCAGUGGGUACGGGCAGACUAGAGCGUGGUAGGGGAGACUGGAAUUCCUGGUGUAGCGGUGAAAUGCGCAGAUAUCAGGAGGAACACCGAUGGCGAAGGCAGGGCGCUGGGCCAUAACUGACGCUGAGAAGCGAAAGCAUGGGGAGCGAACAGG
rnacentral:rRNA from 1 species